AACGAACGCUGGCGGCAGGCUUAACACAUGCAAGUCGAGCGCCCCGCAAGGGGAGCGGCAGACGGGUGAGUAACGCGUGGGAAUCUACCCACCUCUACGGAAUAACGCAUGGAAACGUGUGCUAAUACCGUAUACGUCCUUCGGGAGAAAGAUUUAUCGGAGAUGGAUGAGCCCGCGUUGGAUUAGCUAGUUGGUGGGGUAAAGGCCUACCAAGGCGACGAUCCAUAGCUGGUCUGAGAGGAUGAUCAGCCACACUGGGACUGAGACACGGCCCAGACUCCUACGGGAGGCAGCAGUGGGGAAUAUUGGACAAUGGGCGCAAGCCUGAUCCAGCCAUGCCGCGUGAGUGAUGAAGGCCCUAGGGUUGUAAAGCUCUUUCACCGGUGGAGAUAAUGACGGUAACCGGAGAAGAAGCCCCGGCUAACUUCGUGCCAGCCGCCGCCGUAAGAC
rnacentral:rRNA from 1 species